GUCCUGCAGCCCUGAGGGGCAGUGCUGGGAUUCAGGCUGGGCCACCUGCAGAGCCUGACAGUGGGGACUAGAUGCCCUGAGGCACAUGUGCUGGGUGGCUCCCACGGGAGGAGGAGACAAGACGAGAGUGAGGUGAGGUGCCCACCCACUGACUCCCUCCCUGGGGGCCUCACUGGUGGGCAGUGGCUCCUGCUACAGCUGGAACUCUGCCUCGCUCCUGGGAACAGCUGGCUCUCCUUGCCCCAGAGGUGCAGGCAGGAAUAGGCCACGGCCGGCUGAGAGGUGGAGAGCAUGGCUCCAAGUCGGGCACGCUGGCAGCAGCCGUUCUGUGGUUUUGGACAGCACAUCCCUUGGGAGCCGCAGAGAAUAAGCACAAAUGAAGGCCAGCAGUGUACCUCUUCCUGCAGCGGAACUUCUGCACCGGGGUCAGCGUGGCCACACCCAGCCUCUUCAUGACUAGACGGUAGUGAAUGUCAUUCCAGAGCUGCACCAGCUCCUGGCUGCCUCCUGGCACCCGGCAACCCUACCGAGAAAGCCUCCUGAGACCUGGCCACCCUCGCCCACCCUGGAGUACCGGCAUCUGACCCAACCUGACCCUGGGAGGAGCUGCUCAUUGAUGCGCCAAGCCAUAAGGGCAGGAGCCAUAUGACCAGCAUGCCAAUCCCCACCAGGUUCCAUAGUGACCCUGGUGGCCCCACCGGCCACCCACUCACCUCUGCCCUUCAACCCUCCCAUGAAGCACAUGAGGUCAGCACAGCUCUCAGUCACUCCCUACAGCAUCAGACAAAGCCCACUGUGCUGGGCUGCGGCUUGCCAUCUCCAGCCUGGAUGCAGCCAUCGGCUGAGGGCACAGGUCAAGGAACCCAUACGGGACCCUCCCUGCCCACAGGACUUGGCCCUGAGCCAAAGAUGCCCUUUCUUGGCGUGGUGGCCCAUCAUAUCACUCAGGUCUCAGCCACACGUCACCUCCUCAGAGACUUCUGGAUCAUUCUGACUGAGUUUGUACCCUCUCCUGGGAGUUUUCAUCGCUGGUGUCAUUCACACACUUCAUCACCGACUGCCUUCACAGCAGGUAUUACGACUCCAGCUGUGUGUUCCCUUGUUUGUUCACUUCAUCCGUUUAUUUUGAUGGAUUUGAAAAACCAAGCCCCUCUUAUGUUGCAUGUGUCACGUUGGGUGUUGAGAAUCCUGUAAUGAGCCAAACCAAGGCGGCUCCUCCAUCAUUGGGGCCUGCGGUGCAGAACCAGGAGGCACACGAAACACAGGCUGACAAAUAAAUAGGCUUCUAAUUAUGAACUGAGGAAGGAGCAACAGAGGGGGGAACGAGGGGCUGUACUGGAGAAUAAGGGAGCAGUGCCUAGACAGGGUGACCUUUAAAGAAGAAACCAGAAAGGUAAGAAGGCACCAGCCACACAAAGAGCCAAGCACCAGCCUCUGGCAGAGGGAAUGGCACAUGCAAAGGUCCUAAGACAAAGAAAUAUCUCAGGAGUUCUAGGAACAGCAAGGAAGCUGGCACAGUCACUGUGGAGGAAGCCGGGGCUGAGUCUGGAGAUGAGCCUGUGGAGCAGGCAGACUCAGAUCGCAGGCAGGCGCACACCGUGGUCCCAUCUGCAGUUUUAAAACUCUCUCUGGCCGAUACGUGAGGAACAGAUCAAGGGAGCAGGAGAGGACAUAGGGAGAGUGGCCAAGAGGACAUCACAUGGCUUGGGGGGGUGAGGAGUGGAAAUAAAAAGAACUGGAAAGAAUUGA